UACGUAGGGGGCUAGCGUUGUCCGGAUUUAUUGGGCGUAAAGAGCGUGUAGGCGGCCAGGUAGGUCUGCUGUGAAAACUCGAGGCUCAACCUCGAGACGUCGAUGGAAACUGUUUGGCUAGAGUCCGGAAGAGGAGAAUGGAAUUCCUGGUGUAGCGGUGAAAUGCGCAGAUAUCAGGAAGAACACCCGUGGCUAAGGCGGUUCUCUAGUACGGUACUGACGCUGAGACGCGAAAGCGUGGGGAGCGAACAGG
rnacentral:rRNA from 1 species